AUUCCACCUUAAACACCAGUUUCCCAGCAAACAGCAGCCAAAGGAUGUGCCAUACAAAGAACUCUUAAAGCAGCUGACUUCCCAGCAGCAUGCGAUUCUUAUUGACCUUGGGCGAACCUUUCCUACACACCCAUACUUCUCUGCCCAGCUUGGAGCAGGACAGCUAUCGCUUUACAACAUUUUGAAGGCCUACUCACUUCUAGACCAGGAAGUGGGAUAUUGCCAAGGUCUCAGCUUUGUAGCAGGCAUUUUGCUUCUUCAUAUGAGUGAGGAAGAGGCGUUUAAAAUGCUCAAGUUUCUGAUGUUUGACAUGGGGCUGCGGAAACAGUAUCGGCCAGACAUGAUUAUUUUACAGAUCCAGAUGUACCAGCUCUCGAGGUUGCUUCAUGAUUACCACAGAGACCUCUACAAUCACCUGGAGGAGCACGAGAUCGGCCCCAGCCUCUACGCUGCCCCCUGGUUCCUCACCAUGUUUGCCUCACAGUUCCCGCUGGGAUUCGUAGCCAGAGUCUUUGAUGCCUUCAUCUUGUGGGAUGUGGAUCCGAUCGCUCACCAUG
rnacentral:sRNA from 1 species